rnacentral:rRNA from 1 species
GAUGAACGCUGGCGGCGUGCCUAAUACAUGCAAGUCGAGCGAACAGACGAGGAGCUUGCUCCUCUGACGUUAGCGGCGGACGGGUGAGUAACACGUGGAUAACCUACCUAUAAGACUGGGAUAACUUCGGGAAACCGGAGCUAAUACCGGAUAACAUGUUGAACCGCAUGGUUCAACAGUGAAAGACGGUCUUGCUGUCACUUAUAGAUGGAUCCGCGCCGCAUUAGCUAGUUGGUAAGGUAACGGCUUACCAAGGCAACGAUGCGUAGCCGACCUGAGCGGGUGAUCGGCCACACUGGAACUGAGACACGGUCCAGACUCCUACGGGAGGCAGCAGUAGGGAAUCUUACGCAAUGGGCGAAAUCCUGGCGGAGCAACGCCGCGUGAGUGAAGAAGGUCUUCGGAUCGUAAAACUCUGUUAUUAGGGAAGAACAAAUGUGUAAGUAACUAUGCACGUCUUGACGGUACCUAAUCAGAAAGCCACGGCUAACUACGUG